CUACGGGACGCUGCAGUGAGGAAUAUUGCACAAUGGGGGGAACCCUGAUGCAGCAACGCCGCGUGGAGGAUGACGCAUUUCGGUGUGUAAACUCCUUUUAUAUGUCAAGAAAAUGACGGUAGCAUAUGAAUAAGCACCGGCUAACUCCGUGCCAGCAGCCGCGGUAAUACGGAGGGUGCAAGCGUUACUCGGAAUCACUGGGCGUAAAGGACGCGUAGGCGGGUUGGAAAGUCAGGUGUGAAAUCCUACAGCUUAACUGUAGAACUGCACUUGAAACUUCUAAUCUAGAGUAUGGGAGGGGGAGUUGGAAUUAGUGGUGUAGGGGUAAAAUCCGUAGAUAUCACUAGGAAUACCUAAAGCGAAGGCGAUCUCCUGGAACAUUACUGACGCUAAGGCGUGAAAGCGUGGGGAGCAAGCAGGAUUAGAUACCCCGGUAGUC
rnacentral:rRNA from 1 species